UAAUACGGAGGGUGCGAGCGUUGUUCGGAUUUACUGGGCGUAAAGGGCGUGUAGGCGGAUGCGCAAGCCGGAGGUGAAAGCCCCAGGCUCAACCUGGGAAGCUCUUCCGGAACUGCGCGUCUAGAGAUGGCCAGAGGCAGGUGGAAUUCCUGGUGUAGAGGUGAAAUUCGUAGAGAUCAGGAGGAACACCGGUGGCGAAGGCGGCCUGCUGGGGCCUAUCUGACGCUGAGGCGCGACAGCGUGGGGAGCAAACAGGAUUAGAUACCCUGGUAGUCCACGCCGUAAACGAUGAGCACUCGAUGUGCGGGGUACGACCCCUCGCGUGUCACAGCUAACGCAUUAAGUGCUCCGCCUGGGGAUUACGGUCGCAAGACUA
rnacentral:rRNA from 1 species